GGCCUCGUGGCGCAAUGGUAGCGCGUCAGUUUUCGGCACUGAAAGUUGUGCGUUCGAGUCGCACCGUGGUCG
rfam:Talaromyces islandicus isolate WF-38-12 genome assembly, contig: WF-38-12_scaffold00013